UGCGUGUAUGUAUGUGUGCAUGCACAUGUGUGUUUUACAUGCAUAAUACACAUAACCAGGUGCACACGUACACACACAUAUACAUAUUGGCUUAAAU
rnacentral:miRNA from 1 species